CCUACGGGAGGCUGCAGUGAGGAAUAUUGGUCAAUGGGCGGAAGCCUGAACCAGCCAAGUAGCGUGCAGGAUGACGGCCCUACGGGUUGUAAACUGCUUUUAUACGGGAAUAACGCGCCUUACGUGUAGGGCUUUGCAUGUACCGUAUGAAUAAGGACCGGCUAAUUCCGUGCAAGCAGCCGCGGUAAUACGGAAGGUCCGGGCGUUAUCCGGAUUUAUUGGGGUUAAAGGGAGCGUAGGCCGCAUGUCAAGCGUGCUGUGAAAUGUUCGGGCUCAACCCGGGCCUUGCAGCGCGAAAGGGCGUGCUUGAGUCCGCGGAAAGCAGGCGGAAUUCGUCGUGUAGCGGUGAAAUGCUUAGAUAUGACGAAGAACCCCGAUUGCGAAGGCAGCUUGCUGCAGCGGAACUGACGCUGAUGCUCGAAAGCGCGGGUAUCGAACAGGAUGAGAUACCCUUGUAGUC
rnacentral:rRNA from 1 species